rnacentral:lncRNA from 1 species
GCCGGUCCAAUACGUUGUUGUAUCGCUGCGGAUAUCUCUCUUUCUAACCAUACAAUGGUUGGUACACUUAUUGUGAUUCCCAAUACAAGAGUGAAAAUAGGGGUAAGUACCCAUAGAGUUCCAUAGACCUCUUUUAACGAUUCUAAUUUGGAAAAAGAAUUGAUAUAUUGCAAUUUUGUUGUAUCAAUUAUCAUUUCAACUAUCAACAUCCCCCGUAAUGAUAUCUAUGCUACCAAGUAUUGUCAUAAUAUCAGCCAAUUUCAUUCUUUUAACUAAUUGAGGAAGAAUUUGCAAAUUGAUAAAACCGGGUGGACGAAUUUUCCAUCUCCAAGGAAAACCAUUCUGAUCACCCAUUAAAAAAAUUCCUAAUUCUCCCUUUGGCGCUUCAAUUCUUACGUACAGUUCUUGUUUUGGCAAUUCAAAAGUGGGAGAUGGUUUUUUACUAAUGAAUCUAUAUUCAAAAUCAUUCCAUUCUGGCUCUUUUUCUCUAUCAAAGUAGCGGGUUUCUAAAUUCUCAUAUGGACCGCCGGGAAUUCCUUCCAAAGCCUGUUGAAUAAUUUUUAUGGAUUCGAUCAUUUCACCAAUUCUAACUAAAUAACGAGCUAAUGAAUCUCCCUCUUUUUGCCAUUGAACUUCCCAAUCAAAUUCCCCGUAACACUCAUAAUUAUCAACUUUACGCAAAUCCCAUUGUAUUCCGGAAGCCCGAAGCAUCGGUCCCGAUAAACCCCAAUUUAUUACUUCCUCUCCACAAACAAUGCCUACUCCCUCAACUCGUUCUAAAAAAAUAGGAUUUCGCGUAAUAAGUUGUUGAUAUUCAACAACCCUUGUUAAAAAAUAAUCGCAAAAAUCCAAACAUUUAUCUAUCCAACCAUGAGGUAGAUCAGCCGCUACCCCUCCGAUACGGAAAAAAUUAUGCAUCAUUCUCAUACCUGUCGCAGCUUUCUACAAUUCUUGUUUUGGCAAUUCAAAAGUGGGAGAUGGUUUUUUACUAAUGAAUCUAUAUUCAAAAUCAUUCCAUUCUGGCUCUUUUUCUCUGUCAAAGUAGCAGGUUUCUAAAUUCUCAUAUGGAUCGUCGGGAAUUCCUUCCAAAGUCUGUUGAAUAAUUUUUAUGGAUUCGAUCAUUUCACCAAUUCUAACUAAAUAACGAGCUAAUGAAUCUCCCUCUUUUUGCCAUUGAACUUCCCAAUCAAAUUCCCCGUAACACUCAUAAUUAUCAACUUUACGCAAAUCCCAUUGUAUUCCGGAAGCCCGAAGCAUCGGUCCCGAUAAACCCCAAUUUAUUACUUCCUCUCCACAAACAAUG